rnacentral:lncRNA from 1 species
AGAAGUAUGAUUGGAGAAGACCAAAGAAAUAGGCUAAAUGUCUGCUGGCUACAAGACAUCUCUGGAAGUUGGACAUUUGGGCUCAUUAGAUAAUACCCUUGCCAUCAUUUGCCUCUUUCUACUGGAAGCAGAGUAAGAAGACUCAGGGAUAAAAGGGAAGUCUGAUCUAAGAGCCAAGUGCUUUAUCCUUUGUUCUGCCUGUCCGACAGGAAAAGUUAUUACAAACUUUGUAGUUCUGGGUGAGGGGAAAGGUUAAAGACCUGGCAAAGGACAGAUCUCUUUUGCUUUCUCUUUGUCAUCGGUGGUAACCUAGGCUUGAAUUUCAUGAGA